rnacentral:rRNA from 1 species
UACGUAGGAGACGAGCGUUGUCCGGAGUUACUGGGCGUAAAGGGUGCGCAGGUGGCGGCGCGCGUGGGGGGUGAAAUCGCCCGGCUUAACUGGGCGGGGGCCUUCCAGACGGCGUGGCUUGAGCAGCGGAGGGGGACGUGGAAUUCCGGGUGGAGCGGUGAAAUGCGUAGAGAUCCGGAGGAACACCGACGGCGCAGGCAGCGUCUUGGCCGCUUGCUGACACUGAGGCACGAAAGCUGGGGGAGCAAACGGG